CAGUCGCCGCGGUAAUACGUAGGUCCCGAGCGUUGUCCGGAUUUAUUGGGCGUAAAGGGAGCGCAGGCGGUUUAGUAAGUCUGAAGUUAAAGGCAUUGGCUCAACCAAUGUAUGCUUUGGAAACUGUUAGACUUGAGUGCAGAAGGGGAGAGUGGAAUUCCAUGUGUAGCGGUGAAAUGCGUAGAUAUAUGGAGGAACACCGGUGGCGAAAGCGGCUCUCUGGUCUGUCACUGACGCUGAGGCUCGAAAGCGUGGGUAGCGAACAGGAUUAGAUACCCCCGUAGUCCCUGUCUCUUAUACA
rnacentral:rRNA from 1 species